rnacentral:rRNA from 1 species
AGCUUGCUGCUCUUGAGAGCGGCGGACGGGUGAGUAAUGCCUAGGAAUCUGCCUGGUAGUGGGGGAUAACGUCCGGAAACGGACGCUAAUACCGCAUACGUCCUACGGGAGAAAGCAGGGGACCUUCGGGCCUUGCGCUAUCAGAUGAGCCUAGGUCGGAUUAGCUAGUUGGUGGGGUAAUGGCUCACCAAGGCGACGAUCCGUAACUGGUCUGAGAGGAUGAUCAGUCACACUGGAACUGAGACACGGUCCAGACUCCUACGGGAGGCAGCAGUGGGGAAUAUUGGACAAUGGGCGAAAGCCUGAUCCAGCCAUGCCGCGUGUGUGAAGAAGGUCUUCGGAUUGUAAAGCACUUUAAGUUGGGAGGAAGGGCAGUAAAUUAAUACUUUGCUGUUUUGACGUUACCGACAGAAUAAGCACCGGCUAACUCUGUGCCAGCAGCCGCGGUAAUACAGAGGGUGCAAGCGUUAAUCGGAAUUACUGGGCGUAAAGCGCGCGUAGGUGGUUCGUUAAGUUGGAUGUGAAAUCCCCGGGCUCAACCUGGGAACUGCAUUCAAAACUGACGAGCUAGAGUAUGGUAGAGGGUGGUGGAAUUUCCUGUGUAGCGGUGAAAUGCGUAGAUAUAGGAAGGAACACCAGUGGCGAAGGCGACCACCUGGACUGAUACUGACACUGAGGUGCGAAAGCGUGGGGAGCAAACAGGAUUAGAUACCCUGGUAGUCCACGCCGUAAACGAUGUCAACUAGCCGUUGGGAGCCUUGAGCUCUUAGUGGCGCAGCUAACGCAUUAAGUUGACCGCCCUGGGGAGUACGGGCCGCAAGGUUAAAACUCAAAUGAAAUUGACGGGG